rnacentral:rRNA from 1 species
GAUGAACGCUGGCGGCGUGCCUAAUACAUGCAAGUCGAGCGAACGGACGAGAAGCUUGCUUCUCUGAUGUUAGCGGCGGACGGGUGAGUAACACGUGGAUAACCUACCUAUAAGACUGGGAUAACUUCGGGAAACCGGAGCUAAUACCGGAUAGUAUUUUGAACCGCAUGGUUCAAAAGUGAAAGACGGUCUUGCUGUCACUUAUAGAUGGAUCCGCGCUGCAUUAGCUAGUUGGUAAGGUAACGGCUUACCAAGGCAACGAUGCAUAGCCGACCUGAGAGGGUGAUCGGCCACACUGGAACUGAGACACGGUCCAGACUCCUACGGGAGGCAGCAGUAGGGAAUCUUCCGCAAUGGGCGAAAGCCUGACGGAGCAACGCCGCGUGAGUGAUGAAGGUCUUCGGAUCGUAAAACUCUGUUAUUAGGGAAGAACAUAUGUGUAAGUAACUGUGCACAUCUUGACGGUACCUAAUCAGAAAGCCACGGCUAACUACGUGCCAGCAGCCGCGGUAAUACGUAGGUGGCAAGCGUUAUCCGGAAUUAUUGGGCGUAAAGCGCGCGUAGGCGGUUUUUUAAGUCUGAUGUGAAAGCCCACGGCUCAACCGUGGAGGGUCAUUGGAAACUGGAAAACUUGAGUGCAGAAGAGGAAAGUGGAAUCCCAUGUGUAGCGGUGAAAUGCGCAGAGAUAUGGAGGAACACCAGUGGCGAAGGCGACUUUCUGGUCUGUAACUGACGCUGAUGUGCGAAAGCGUGGGGAUCAAACAGGAUUAGAUACCCUGGUAGUCCACGCCGUAAACGAUGAGUGCUAAGUGUUAGGGGGUUUCCGCCCCUUAGUGCUGCAGCUAACGCAUUAAGCACUCCGCCUGGGGAGUACGACCGCAAGGUUGAAACUCAAAGGAAUUGACGGGGACCCGCACAAGCGGUGGAGCAUGUGGUUUAAUUCGAAGCAACGCGAAGAACCUUACCAAAUCUUGACAUCCUUUGACAACUCUAGAGAUAGAGCCUUCCCCUUCGGGGGACAAAGUGACAGGUGGUGCAUGGUUGUCGUCAGCUCGUGUCGUGAGAUGUUGGGUUAAGUCCCGCAACGAGCGCAACCCUUAAGCUUAGUUGCCAUCAUUAAGUUGGGCACUCUAAGUGGACUGCCGGUGACAAACCGGAGGAAGGUGGGGAUGACGUCAAAUCAUCAUGCCCCUUAUGAUUUGGGCUACACACGUGCUACAAUGGACAAUACAAAGGGCAGCGAAACCGCGAGGUCAAGCAAAUCCCAUAAAGUUGUUCUCAGUUCGGAUUGUAGUCUGCAACUCGACUACAUGAAGCUGGAAUCGCUAGUAAUCGUAGAUCAGCAUGCUACGGUGAAUACGUUCCCGGGUCU